rnacentral:rRNA from 1 species
UGACCUCAAUCAGUGAGACAGGAGUACCCCUGAACUUAAC